UACGAAGGGGGCUAGCGUUGCUCGGAAUUACUGGGCGUAAAGGGCGCGUAGGCGGGUCGUUAAGUUGGGGGUGAAAGCCCAGGGCUCAACCCUGGAAUUGCCUUCAAUACUGGCGACCUUGAGUAUGGCAGAGGUGUGUGGAACUCCGAGUGUAGAGGUGAAAUUCGUAGAUAUUCGGAAGAACACCAGUGGCGAAGGCGACACACUGGGCCAUUACUGACGCUGAGGCGCGAAAAGCGUGGGGAGCAACAGG
rnacentral:rRNA from 1 species